rnacentral:rRNA from 1 species
UACGUAGGGCGCAAGCGUUGUCCGGAUUUAUUGGGCGUAAAGAGCUCGUAGGCGGUUUGUCGCGUCUUCCGUGAAAACUGGGGGCUUAACUUCCAGCUUGCGGUGGAUACUGUCGGGCUAGAGUGCGGAAGAGGCGAGUGGAAUUCCUGGUGUAGCGGUGAAAUGCGCAGAUAUCAGGAGGAACACCGAUUGCGAAGGCAGCUCGCUGGGACGUAACUGACGCUGAGACGCGAAAGCGUGGGGAGCAAACAGG